GGGCCCAUAGCUCAGUUGGUUAGAGCAACGGUCUCAUAAACCGUGGGUCGAUGGUUCAAGUCCAUCUGGGCCCA
rnacentral:tRNA from 1 species